rnacentral:rRNA from 1 species
UACGUAGGGUGCAAGCGUUAUCCGGAAUUAUUGGGCGUAAAGAGCUCGUAGGCGGUCUGUCGCGUCUGCUGUGAAAACUCAGGGCUUAACCCUGAGCUUGCAGUGGGUACGGGCAGACUAGAGUGCGGUAGGGGAGACUGGAAUUCCUGGUGUAGCGGUGAAAUGCGCAGAUAUCAGGAGGAACACCGGUGGCGAAGGCGGGUCUCUGGGCCGUAACUGACGCUGAGGAGCGAAAGCGUGGGGAGCAAACAGG